AUGAACGCUGGCGGCGUGCCUAAUCCAUGCAAGUCGAGCGAACGGACGAGAAGCUUGCUUCUCUGAUGUUAGCGGCGGACGGGUGAGUAACACGUGGAUAACCUACCUAUAAGACUGGGAUAACUUCGGGAAACCGGAGCUAAUACCGGAUGAUAUUUUGAACCGCAUGGUUCAAAAGUGAAAGACGGUCUUGCUGUCACUUAUAGAUGGAUCCGCGCUGCAUUAGCUAGUUGGUAAGGUAACGGCUUACCAAGGCAACGAUGCAUAGCCGACCUGAGAGAGUGAUCGGCCACACUGGAACUGAGACACGGUCCAGACUCCUACGGGAGGCAGCAGUAGGGAAUCUUCCGCAAUGGGCGAAAGCCUGACGGAGCAACGCCGCGUGAGUGAUGAAGGUCUUCGGAUCGUAAAACUCUGUUAUUAGGGAAGAACAUAUGUGUAAGUAACUGUGCACAUCUUGACGGUACCUAAUCAGAAAGCCACGGCUAACUACGUG
rnacentral:rRNA from 1 species